AACCUAUUGCUGGUUUUAUAACGAAAAUUGGGUAUCAGCGAAUUGCAAAUGUGAUGUGUUUUUUUUACCGUCGAAAAUAAUAACAAAGUUCUUUGCAAAGCCUAAUCUGAGGUGAGGUCAACGGAGCCGACAAUUUUCAGAUUUUUAUAUGGGAACAUAACAGUAACACCCAUAUAACGAAAAUCACUUUGAUCGCCAGGGAUAUCAUUUUGUUACAACCAUGAGGGUUCUACCCCCAUCCAUCCAAGACCUGCCUAAUUUCUUACACCACCUAUGGAUCAUAUGUUUUCUUCUACCGCCCUCAUGGGGUCAGAACUACGACCUCUACAGCCAGUCGGACACCUGGACAACAGCCAUCCUUAUCCUUACCUACAAACAUCCAGUCUCUAAAAACCUCACGACAGAGAAAGAAGAAAAUGGCCGCUUUGCAACAGGGACUAUCAAAGAAGCCAAAGGCAUUCUGCUGCGACCGUCUCGUAAUGUCUAUGGUUGUGUCUCACUGCCGAAGAGUCAAAUACCAAAGCAACCAUGGAUCGCACUGGUAGAAUACGGAAACUGCACACCAGAGGUAAAAAUGACAUUAGCAGAAGAAGGAAAUGCUUCAGCUUUACUAAUGAUAAAUGCUCCAGAGGUUGAUGCUUCUUCAGUAGAUUUUAAAGG